UUCAGGGGCUCCGUUUGGGCGGGGCGGAACAGGAAGUGACGUCAGAACGGGGGCGGGCGGACCGGAAGUAGGGCCUGAACACGUGGUGUCGUGGGAGGGGGUGGCGGUGGGACGCAUCGAUCCCGUGUGGGCGUGACGCGUGUGUGACACGUGUGUCAUAUGUGGACGUGACAGCCGGACGUGUGUGUGUGUGACAUGUGUCACGUGUGUGCCAUGUGUCACGUGUGUGCCAUGUUCGGGUGACAUGUGUGUCCCAUGUUCAGGUCACACGUGUGUCCCAUGUUCAUGUGACAUGUGUGUCCCAUGUUCAGGUCACAUGUUUGUCCCAUGUUCAUGUGACAUGUGUGUCCCGUGUCCAGGUGACAUGUGUGUGCCAUGUUCGGGAGACAUGUGUGUCCCCUGGCAACAUCACAUGUGUGUCCCAUGUUCGGGUGACAUGUAUGUCCCAUGGCAACGUGACACACGUGUCCCAUGUUCAUGUGACAUGUGUGUCCCAUGUUCAGGUCACAUGUUUGUCCCAUGUUCAGGCAACAUGUGUGUCCCAUGUUUGGGUGACGUGUGUCUCAUGAUCGGGUGACACGUGUGUCCCAUAGAAACGUGACACGUGUGUGCCAUGUUCAG
ensembl:lncRNA